UACGAAGGGAGCGAGCGUUGUUCGGAAUCACUGGGCUUAAAGCGUGCGUAGGCGGAUGUGUAAGUAAGAAGUGAAAUCCCAGGGCUUAACCCUGGAACUGCUUUUUAGACUGCACGUCUGGAAUUCGGUAGAGGCUAGUGGAACUCCUAGUGUAGAGGUGAAAUUCGCAGAUAUUAGGAAGAACACCGGUGGCGAAGGCGACUAGCUGGACCGACAUUGACGCUGAGGCACGAAAGCGUGGGUAGCAAACAGGAUUAGAUACCCUGGUAGUCCACGCUGUAAACCAUGUAUGCUAGCUGUUGGAGUCCUUAGGGCUUCGGCGGCGGAGAGAAAUCAUUAAGCAUACCGCCUGGGGAGUACGGUCGCAAGAUUAAA
rnacentral:rRNA from 1 species